GUAUAAAAUGAGAGAGAAAAGGCGAAAGUAAGUCAGUCGAGGGAGCAUCUCCGACACGGCAACAACUACAGCGCUCUGUCUGUCAGUUCGCAUCCAUGGCAAACUAUGGCGUAGUGCUGCUGUUGUGUGUUGAAUCAUUGAUGGCUGGGUCGACCACUGGUGUACCGAUGUCUUCUUGGUAUGGCGGAUACCGCCGCCGCCUUACUACCCAAAAGCAACUUACUCAACGACCAGUUACUGCACCGAGGUCAAGUACUACACCACUAAAGCACCGGACUUGAAUAGCACAACUUACGCUGCCCCGAGCCAUUACACUGAUGCCCUGAAGUAUUACUGUGCCCCGAGUUACUACACCACCAAGGCGACGGAGGAUGACUACGCAUGCUGCCCAUCCUCCAAGGCUCAUACACUGAGGCUCCUACACCGAGGCUCCUAACUGCUACACCGAGGCUCCCGCUGAUUACUACACCGAAGCGGCAAAGUACUACUCUGCCCCGAUCUACACAACCACAACUGAGGCGGCCAAGUAUUACGCUGUCCCAACUUACUGCACAGAAGCUGCCCUUUCGUACUACGUUGAACAGGAAUACUACACUGAUGCUCCAAUUCACUACACCACGACCUACGCUACACCGCAGCCCCCAAGUACUACACCGAAGAAGGCGCCUACAACAACGUAUGCUGCCUAGUUUACUACACCGAGGCUCCCAAGUACUACAUCACUAAGGCACCGGAAUUCUACACGUCUAUGUAUGCUACCCCUGCCCACUACACCGAGGCCCCGCAUUACUACAACACUGAAGCGCUCAAGUACUACACUAUAACCUGUGCUUCCCCGAGCUACUACACCUUCGUCCCGAAGUGUUACUGUGCGUAAAAGGAGUCUUAAAAAAAAAGAAGUGCCCGAACUGCAGUGCCCUAUCUGUCACCAACUGCAUUCCUCAUCGUGUAAACGAUUCGCAAUUAUGGUCAACUAUGGCGUCGUGCUCCUGUUGGGUGUUGUAUCGUUGAUGGCUGGGUCGACCACUGGUGUACCGAUGUCUACUUGGUAUGGCGCAAACCAAACAGCAACGCCACCGCCUUCCUAC